rnacentral:piRNA from 1 species
UGCCUAUUUCACUGAAAAGACUACCUUGCA